rnacentral:misc_RNA from 1 species
GAACUGCGAUAAGUAAUGUGAAUUGCAGAAUUCAGUGAAUCAUCGAGUCUUUGAACGCACAUUGCGCCCCCUGGCAUUCCGGGGGGCAUGCCUGUCCGAGCGUCAUUGCUGCCCUUCAAGCCCGGCUUGUGUGUUGGGUCGUCGUCCCCCCCGGGGGACGGACCCGAAAGGCAGCGGCGGCACCGUGUCCGGUCCUCGAGCGUAUGGGGCUUUGUCACCCGCUCGAUUAUGACCGGCCGGGCGCCCGCCGGCGUCAAACCCCAAUCUUUCUAAGGUUGACCUCGGAUCAGGUAGGGAUACCCGCUGAACUUAAGC